UACGGGGGGGGCAAGCGUUGUUCGGAAUUACUGGGCGUAAAGGGCUCGUAGGCGGCCAACUAAGUCAGACGUGAAAUCCCUCGGCUUAACCGGGGAACUGCGUCUGAUACUGGAUGGCUUGAGUUUGGGAGAGGGAUGCGGAAUUCCAGGUGUAGCGGUGAAAUGCGUAGAUAUCAGGAGGAACACCGGUGGCGAAGGCGGAUCUCUGGGCCAUAACUGACGCUGAGGAGCGAAAGCAUGGGGAGCGAACAGG
rnacentral:rRNA from 1 species